AUGGGGGUGUGGUUUCGCCGGUGGCUCGCGCGGAGGAGCGGAUCUGGGUACACUGUUGCCGCGGAGGUUGAGUUUGUUAGAUCUGAUCGGCACAUAUUUGCAGAAUCCUUUGCGUUUCUCCCUGAUCUGCUUCGCUUCAAAUUCCUUGGUCUACCCUGUCACAAAAAGAAAAACAGUACAUUGUUGUUGUUCUUUAGUAUUGUUGAUAUACAAAGUUUGCAGGUUCUAUAG